CAUUUGACUGGGAAAUAAUAACUAUUACUGGAAGAAAAAAGUAGCAAAACAUUAUUUCCUAAUAUGUGCGAACAUAAUGAGGAGCCAGGUCUCCAGCUUUAAGGGUGAUUAUUAUCGUUUUUGGCUAUUGCCACUUACCAACGCUAAGUACUUUAGCUGUGUAACUUGAUUUGAAUAGCAUCGCCAGAAGAGCACCAUCAAAGCCUUUUGAUAAGAUGCUACCAAGAAAAUAUGAUAAUAUAUAACCCCAAGAAAAUUAUUUUAUCAUCUUGGUAUAUCUAUAAAAAUAGAACCAAAUAAAAAAACAGUAUAAAUAAUAAAAAUCUUCCUCGCUGGGGUUUUGUGAAGGAUACCAACUAGCACUCAUGAAGUAUUGUGAGUUUCCUGGAAGGAAGGCCUUUUGUAAGUUCAAGGUAUUGCUAUUCACUAGUCAUUGGCCAUAACAUUGCACAUGAUAGAUGGGAAAUGGGAGAGUGGGAGAGUUAAGUAAUUAAGCUAAAAUCACCCAGUGAACUGGGGAAAACCCAAAAGUAUAAAGAGAUCUAAAUCUGUUCAUUGGAGGAAUGCAGACAUAUCUGGACAAAGCCCCAGAGUUUAAGUGACAAGAACACCUAACAAAACUUGAAGUCCUAGGCAUGUAGCCAAAUAAUACAAAUAUCCUUGUUAAAUGCAGGUGUAUCCACACCAGUCAGUCCUUGUCCUUGGAGGAGAGCUAAGGUGGGUCCUGCUGAGGACAGAGACUCUUCUGUUUGAUUUGCAGGUAUAGCCAGUAGUUGACCCUCUGAGCCCAACGCUGCAGAGAACACAGUGAACCUAGUAAACUGAGUGUGGCUGUCUCCCCAGGGCGGCUCUCUGAGAAUUCCUCCUAGGUCCCUGAUAGAGAUAGGUAGAUGGGUUAUAGGCGGAAAGAGACAAAGUGCCUUGAACUCUGUGGGUUAGAAUCCUGUCUUCAACUCCUAGACACUUAAAAAAAAAGUCUUGCCUGCACUCAUGGCCUUUCAACCAGGAAUGCAUAACAGAAAGACUUUAUGGUAAUCAAAUGGGAAAGACGGGGCAAGAGUUUUUAAGCAGUCAGUGUUAAGAGAAAAAAGGAAAGCCAUGUCUGUGUUGUCUAACUCAAGGUUAUAUUUUGUAGCACCUAAUGGCAACUAUUAAACAAGGACGUACUCUUAUCUAAUUUGCGCUGUUGUCUUCCCAGGAUCUGGAACAUUUUCUGCAAGAGUCCACCUUUAUCUCUAGAAGCCUCUGGCAAACAGUCCCUUUCAGCUCAGGUCCUUUUGUAGAAAGAACUUGAUGCUGAAAGCAACUCGCCCCUUCUGCCCUCAGCCCCGCUCUCCCACCUACCCUCCCCACCGUGGUUAACUUGUUUUUCAUCUUUGUUCUGAGUCGCUCUAGGCUGGUUCAAUUUUUAUUUCUGUUAACUUUUAAUGAGUUAGUAAUUCAAUGAUCCUGGCUUUGAAUCUUUGGAACUGCAGGUUGUUAGUAAGGAUUGAAUCAGCUUGUUGGCUCCUAAUGGACUCUGAAAUUCAGUAACAUUCACAGUGUGUUUGUUCAUUCCGUUGACUGCCCAGUCCCAGUAGGAACAAUGACCAACAGAGAAGAAUCCAGGGCCAGAGGAUCUACUACCACAGAACAUUUCUAGACGUCAAUUCCUGGUAUGAAAGGAUUGGGAGUUAACAGAAGAGCCACAGAGAGGACUCUGGAUUCUCAGCUAGUGUUUGAUACUAUUUAAGGGUUCCAUCAGUUUAGUGCUCACACAGCAUUUAUUAGCUAUGCGAACUUGACCAGAUGAAGAAACUGAGACUUAGAAAGGAAGAAAGAGUCACCCAGGUAGCUGAUCACAGAAUCUCUCCCUAGGGAUCUAGGAAGAAAGUGCUAACAUUGCUAAGUCAUGCUGCUUGAGAAGGGUUAAUCUGGCUUCUCAAUUUCUAAGUUCCAAAGCACAUCGUGGACCUGCAGAUAAACUAAAUGUUCAACAACACUUUCCAUAAGUACUCAUUGAUGUCCACCUUGUUGGACAAGACAUUGUGCUAAUCUUUGGAAUAUUGCUGUUAACCUGAGAGACAUUAGAGGAGCUUCCAUUCCAUUCAGGGAGACAGCUAUGAAACACCUGGUUAUGUGUGUGGUUGCCUUGUGAUAAACACUAUGGAGACGCAUAUACCAGAGGUUCUGACUUAAGCUGGUAUGCUGGUCAGAAAGACUUCCCUGAGGAAAGAAUUUGUAAACUAAGUGCUAAAGGGUGAGUAGGAAAAAAUCAACUAGAAAAGAAAUGGAGGAAAAGCAUUUCUGGCAGAAUAGCAUGUUCAAGAACUUGGAGCAUUUGCAUACUAGAGGAAGGCCAGUGUGCUAUACCCAGAGGCUGAGUGAGGCAGGAAGAUGACAUGGAACUAUGGGAACAGGUUGGGGCCAAAUUCUCCAGAGCUUCAGACCCACACUAAGCAUUUUUUUUAAGAUAGAGUCUUGUUCUGUCGCCAGACUGGAGUGCAAUG